rnacentral:SRP_RNA from 3 species
GGCGGGCCUCCCCGCAUUGCAAGGUGGUGAACCUGGUCAGAUCCGGAAGGAAGCAGCCAUAACCAUUUACUGCAAGUGCCGGGGGCAAGGCUCGCCUCC